AGAUUGAACGCUGGCGGUAUGCCUAACACAUGCAAGUCGAACGAGGUAGCAAUACCCAGUGGCGGACGGGUGAGGAAUACGUAGGGAUCUGCCUUUAAGUGGGGGAUAACCCGGGGAAACCCGGAUUAAUACCGCAUGAUCUCGCAAGAGCAAAGUGGGGGACCGCAAGGCCUCACGCUUUUAGAGGAACCUACGUCGGAUUAGCUUGUUGGUGAGGUAACGGCUCACCAAGGCGACGAUCCGUAACUGGUCUGAGAGGAUGAUCAGUCACACCGGAACUGAGACACGGUCCGGACUCCUACGGGAGGCAGCAGUGGGGAAUAUUGGGACAAUGGGCGAAAGGCCUGAUCCAGCAAUACCGCGUGUGUGAAGAAGGCCUUCGGGUGUAAAGCACUUAAGUUAGGAAGAAAAACUUACGUUAAUACGACGAAGUACUUGACGGUACCGACAGAAUAAGCACCGGCUAACUCUGUGCCAGCAGCCGC
rnacentral:rRNA from 1 species